rnacentral:rRNA from 1 species
GACGAACCGUGCGAACGUUGUUCGGAAUCACUGGGCUUAAAGGGCGCGUAGGCGGGCGGCAAAGUCAGGGGUGAAAUCCUCCAGCUUAACUGGAGAAGUGCCUUUGAUACUGGUCGCCUCGAGGGGGGUAGGGGCGUGCGGAACUGUGGGUGGAGCGGUGAAAUGCGUUGAUAUCCACAGGAACUCCGGUGGCGAAGGCGGCACGCUGGACCUCAUCUGACGCUGAGGCGCGAAAGCCAGGGGAGCAAACGGG